rnacentral:rRNA from 3 species
GCUAAUACCCGAUGUGCCGAGAGGUGAAACAUUUAUGGCCUGGAGAUGAGCUCGCGUCUGAUUAGCUAGUUGGUGGGGUAAGAGCUUACCAAGGCGACGAUCAGUAGCUGGUCUGAGAGGAUGAUCAGCCACACUGGAACUGAGACACGGUCCAGACUCCUACGGGAGGCAGCAGUGGGGAAUUUUCCGCAAUGGGCGCAAGCCUGACGGAGCAAGACCGCGUGGGGGAUGAAGGUUUGUGGAUUGUAAACCCCUUUUGAUUGGGAAGAAGAACUGACGGUACCAAUCGAAUAAGCCUCGGCUAACUCCGUGCCAGCAGCCGCGGUAAUACGGAGGAGGCAAGCGUUAUCCGGAAUUAUUGGGCGUAAAGCGUCCGUAGGUGGUUUAGUAAGUCUGCUGUCAAAGCGCGGGGCUUAACUCCGUAUCGGCAGUGGAAACUACUAGACUUGAGUGCGGUAGGGGUAGAGGGAAUUCCCAGUGUAGCGGUGAAAUGCGUAGAUAUUGGGAAGAA